rnacentral:rRNA from 1 species
AGGUUAAGCGACUAAGCGUACACGGUGGAUGCCCUGGCAGUCAGAGGCGAUGAAGGACGUGCUAAUCUGCGAUAAGCGUCGGUAAGGUGAUAUGAACCGUUAUAACCGGCGAUUUCCGAAUGGGGAAACCCAGUGUGUUUCGACACACUAUCAUUAACUGAAUCCAUAGGUUAAUGAGGCGAACCGGGGGAACUGAAACAUCUAAGUACCCCGAGGAAAAGAAAUCAACCGAGAUUCCCCCAGUAGCGGCGAGCGAACGGGGAGCAGCCCAGAGCCUGAAUCAGUGUGUGUGUUAGUGGAAGCGUCUGGAAAGGCGCGCGAUACAGGGUGACAGCCCCGUACACAAAAAUGCACAUGCUGUGAGCUCGAUGAGUAGGGCGGGACACGUGGUAUCCUGUCUGAAUAUGGGGGGACCAUCCUCCAAGGCUAAAUACUCCUGACUGACCGAUAGUGAACCAGUACCGUGAGGGAAAGGCGAAAAGAACCCCGGCGAGGGGAGUGAAAAAGAACCUGAAACCGUGUACGUACAAGCAGUGGGAGCACGCUUAGGCGUGUGACUGCGUACCUUUUGUAUAAUGGGUCAGCGACUUAUAUUCUGUAGCAAGGUUAACCGAAUAGGGGAGCCGAAGGGAAACCGAGUCUUAACUGGGCGUUAAGUUGCAGGGUAUAGACCCGAAACCCGGUGAUCUAGCCAUGGGCAGGUUGAAGGUUGGGUAACACUAACUGGAGGACCGAACCGACUAAUGUUGAAAAAUUAGCGGAUGACUUGUGGCUGGGGGUGAAAGGCCAAUCAAACCGGGAGAUAGCUGGUUCUCCCCGAAAGCUAUUUAGGUAGCGCCUCGUGAACUCAUCUCCGGGGGUAGAGCACUGUUUCGGCAAGGGGGUCAUCCCGACUUACCAACCCGAUGCAAACUGCGAAUACCGGAGAAUGUUAUCACGGGAGACACACGGCGGGUGCUAACGUCCGUCGUGAAGAGGGAAACAACCCAGACCGCCAGCUAAGGUCCCAAAGUCAUGGUUAAGUGGGAAACGAUGUGGGAAGGCCCAGACAGCCAGGAUGUUGGCUUAGAAGCAGCCAUCAUUUAAAGAAAGCGUAAUAGCUCACUGGUCGAGUCGGCCUGCGCGGAAGAUGUAACGGGGCUAAACCAUGCACCGAAGCUGCGGCAGCGACGCUUAUGCGUUGUUGGGUAGGGGAGCGUUCUGUAAGCCUGUGAAGGUGUACUGUGAGGUAUGCUGGAGGUAUCAGAAGUGCGAAUGCUGACAUAAGUAACGAUAAAGCGGGUGAAAAGCCCGCUCGCCGGAAGACCAAGGGUUCCUGUCCAACGUUAAUCGGGGCAGGGUGAGUCGACCCCUAAGGCGAGGCCGAAAGGCGUAGUCGAUGGGAAACAGGUUAAUAUUCCUGUACUUGGUGUUACUGCGAAGGGGGGACGGAGAAGGCUAUGUUGGCCGGGCGACGGUUGUCCCGGUUUAAGCGUGUAGGCUGGUUUUCCAGGCAAAUCCGGAAAAUCAAGGCUGAGGCGUGAUGACGAGGCACUACGGUGCUGAAGCAACAAAUGCCCUGCUUCCAGGAAAAGCCUCUAAGCAUCAGGUAACAUCAAAUCGUACCCCAAACCGACACAGGUGGUCAGGUAGAGAAUACCAAGGCGCUUGAGAGAACUCGGGUGAAGGAACUAGGCAAAAUGGUGCCGUAACUUCGGGAGAAGGCACGCUGAUAUGUAGGUGAAGCGACUUGCUCGUGGAGCUGAAAUCAGUCGAAGAUACCAGCUGGCUGCAACUGUUUAUUAAAAACACAGCACUGUGCAAACACGAAAGUGGACGUAUACGGUGUGACGCCUGCCCGGUGCCGGAAGGUUAAUUGAUGGGGUUAGCGCAAGCGAAGCUCUUGAUCGAAGCCCCGGUAAACGGCGGCCGUAACUAUAACGGUCCUAAGGUAGCGAAAUUCCUUGUCGGGUAAGUUCCGACCUGCACGAAUGGCGUAAUGAUGGCCAGGCUGUCUCCACCCGAGACUCAGUGAAAUUGAACUCGCUGUGAAGAUGCAGUGUACCCGCGGCAAGACGGAAAGACCCCGUGAACCUUUACUAUAGCUUGACACUGAACAUUGAGCCUUGAUGUGUAGGAUAGGUGGGAGGCUUUGAAGUGUGGACGCCAGUCUGCAUGGAGCCGACCUUGAAAUACCACCCUUUAAUGUUUGAUGUUCUAACGUUGACCCGUAAUCCGGGUUGCGGACAGUGUCUGGUGGGUAGUUUGACUGGGGCGGUCUCCUCCUAAAGAGUAACGGAGGAGCACGAAGGUUGGCUAAUCCUGGUCGGACAUCAGGAGGUUAGUGCAAUGGCAUAAGCCAGCUUGACUGCGAGCGUGACGGCGCGAGCAGGUGCGAAAGCAGGUCAUAGUGAUCCGGUGGUUCUGAAUGGAAGGGCCAUCGCUCAACGGAUAAAAGGUACUCCGGGGAUAACAGGCUGAUACCGCCCAAGAGUUCAUAUCGACGGCGGUGUUUGGCACCUCGAUGUCGGCUCAUCACAUCCUGGGGCUGAAGUAGGUCCCAAGGGUAUGGCUGUUCGCCAUUUAAAGUGGUACGCGAGCUGGGUUUAGAACGUCGUGAGACAGUUCGGUCCCUAUCUGCCGUGGGCGCUGGAGAACUGAGGGGGGCUGCUCCUAGUACGAGAGGACCGGAGUGGACGCAUCACUGGUGUUCGGGUUGUCAUGCCAAUGGCACUGCCCGGUAGCUAAAUGCGGAAGAGAUAAGUGCUGAAAGCAUCUAAGCACGAAACUUGCCCCGAGAUGAGUUCUCCCUGACUCCUUGAGAGUCCUGAAGGAACGUUGAAGACGACGACGUUGAUAGGCCGGGUGUGUAAGCGCAGCGAUGCGUUGAGCUAACCGGUACUAAUGAACCGUGAGGCUUAACCU